rnacentral:rRNA from 1 species
AUUGAACGCUGGCGGCAUGCCUUACACAUGCAAGUCGAACGGUAACAGGUCUUCGGAUGCUGACGAGUGGCGAACGGGUGAGUAAUACAUCGGAACGUGCCUAGUAGUGGGGGAUAACUACUCGAAAGAGUGGCUAAUACCGCGUGAGAUCUACGGAUGAAAGCAGGGGAUCGCAAGACCUUGUGCUACUAGAGCGGCCGAUGGCAGAUUAGGUAGUUGGUGGGAUAAAAGCUUACCAAGCCGACGAUCUGUAGCUGGUCUGAGAGGACGAUCAGCCACACUGGGACUGAGACACGGCCCAGACUCCUACGGGAGGCAGCAGUGGGGAAUUUUGGACAAUGGGCGCAAGCCUGAUCCAGCAAUGCCGCGUGCAGGAUGAAGGCCUUCGGGUUGUAAACUGCUUUUGUACGGAACGAAAAGCCCCGGGUUAAUACCCUGGGGUCAUGACGGUACCCUAAGAAUAAGCACCGGCUAACUACGUGCCAGCAGCCGCGGUAA